rnacentral:lncRNA from 1 species
AGCGGGAGCCGGAGCCGGGCUGCGUGGCCUCUGCCCGGAUGCGGGGCACCUCUCGCAGGACCCGGCUCGGGGCGCAGGGACCUCGGAGCCGCGGGGAGGACCCAGGUGGAGGCGCACGUGCCACGGCCAGGCGCCCCCCAGAAUGCGGGCGGAGAGCUCGGGGCGCCCGAAGUCUGCAGUGCGGAGUUCCGGGAACCAGAGCCUACCUGGGGCCCAUUCCGGAGGCCCAGGCUCUCACUGUUCCCCGGGCUGAACCUGGACUUACGGACUCAAGUAAUGGGGACUACAGAGUCUCCCUCUGCAGUUCAGGCUGGCCUUGCACUCACAGUGAUCCUCCUGCCUCAGGCUUCCAAGUGCUGGGAUUACUGGGAUCGAACUCAGGACCUUGCGCUUGUGAGGCAGGUGCAGCACCACUGAGCUGAAUCCCUGGCCCAGUCUCAACGUAUUCUAAGGUAAAAAUAAUUGUUAUGCAUAACACAAAUUUAUAUGUAAUAGAAAGAAGCAAUGUGAUAUAUCUAUUAAUAGUAUGUAUUCACCAAGUAUUUCCAGUUUUCAUCCCUUUGGUCAUGAGAUUAAGACUGCACUUCCUGCCUGCUGUGGCUGGGGACAGCCGUGUGACUAGUUCUGGCUACUGACAGGUAGGAAUGAAAUUCUUUUCUUUCUUUCUUUAUUGCAGUCCUGGGGAUUGAACCAAGGGCCUUUGCACUAAGCUACAUUCCCGGCCCUUUUCUGCUUGCCUCUUCUUGUCUGGAACAUAGUUAUGUGCCUUUGGAUCUGCAGCAAUGUUUAGUUCAGUGAGGUGGCGGAUUUCAGGAUGAAAACCACCUCCUUUAUAUUGUUAAGUUCUUGUACUAACUUUGCCCCCUUCCUCCCCUCCCUCCUGAAAGCACUGGGGAUUGAACUCAGGGCCUCACAAAUGGUAGGAAAGUGCUUGACCACUGAGCAACAUCCCCAGCCCUUUUUACAAAUUUUUCAAAUUUUUAUUUUGAGACAGGUUCUUACUAAAUUGUCCAGGGUAAGAUUGAAUUGUGAUUCUCCUGCCUCGGCCUCCCUUGGAGUUGAAAUUAUAGGCCUGUGCCACCAUGCCCAACACUCAGAGCCUCCAAAUUUCUAACUUGAGACAAGUAACUAUUUUCAUUGUGUAAACUUUAAACACAUAUUGUGUGGUCCUUGUAAAUUUGGUCAUGUGUAAUUAAAUGUACCAUAAUUUGCACUAUAAGCUCUAAUAUUUUGGGUUGAUUUUGAUGACAUUGUAAUUCACUAUGUAUUGUCUCUCUCUAUUUUUUUCUUUUUUGUUUUUUGAGACAGAGUCUCCCUCUGCAGUUCAGGCUGGCCUUGCACUCACAGUGAUCCUCCUGCCUCAGGCUUCCAAGUGCUGGGAUUACUGGUUUGUGCCAUCAUGCUCGGCUGUCAAUAUAAUUUGUAGAAAGUUCUUUUGGUAAUCUCAACAUAUAUAUAUAUAUAUAUUUUUGGUACCAGGGAUCGAACUCAGGACCUUGCGCUUGUGAGGCAGGUGCAGCACCACUGAGCUGAAUCCCUGGCCCAGUCUCAACGUAUUCUAAGGUAAAAAUAAUUGUUAUGCAUAACACAAAUUUAUAUGUAAUAGAAAGAAGCAAUGUGAUAUAUCUAUUAAUAGUAUGUAUUCACCAAGUAUUUCCAGUUUUCAUCCCUUUGGUCAUGAGAUUAAGACUGCACUUCCUGCCUGCUGUGGCUGGGGACAGCCGUGUGACUAGUUCUGGCUACUGACAGGUAGGAAUGAAAUUCUUUUCUUUCUUUCUUUAUUGCAGUCCUGGGGAUUGAACCAAGGGCCUUUGCACUAAGCUACAUUCCCGGCCCUUUUUUAUUUUGAGACAGGAUCUCACUAAGUCACUAAAUUGCUCAGACCAGGCUCGAAUUUGAGACCCUUCUGCCUCAGCUUCCAGAGUGCUGGGAUCACAGGUGUGCACCCCCAUGCCCGGCUGUCUUCUGGCUUUUUGUGAGAUAUAGUGUUUUUGGGAAACUGAGAUUAAAAAUUAAAAUUCUUGCUCCACAGAAAUGUUAGAGGUUAAAAGAAAAAAAAAAUAACCAAACCAAACAAAAAAGGGGCCUGUGUUCGAUCCCCAGAACCCCCAACCCAAAAAACCCCCCAAAAGAUAAGUUAUUGGGCAGGGUAGCACAUACCUAUAAUUCUAGCACUCCGUAGGGACUAGGUACGUAGCUCAGUGGUAGAGCACUUUCCUAGAACGUGUGAGGCCCUGUGUUUGAUCCCAAUACUGGAUGAGAGAGAGAGAACAGAAAGCGUAGAUGGUAACCCUGGAGUUGUGGAAAGAGCCUCAUUCUCCCCUGUGGACUAAAACUAACCAUGCCCUUGCCUCCAACCUCACGGUCUCCAGGCUUUCAGGGGACUGCAGAGAGAAACACAUUCUUACUUAAAACUACUAAUGACAAAUUUACCAAUAAAACAUCGUCAUAGAUGGCCUGGUGGUACAGGCCUGACUGAGAGAGGGCGAUCGUGAGUUCAAUCCCAGGCUGGGCGGUUUAGGGAUGUAGUGAGAACCUGUCUCACAAGGAAGAAGUAAUUUAAUAAGGGCUGGUGAUGUAGCUCAGGGUGAAGAUCCCCAGUUCAAUCCCCAGUUCCAAACAAAUCAACCAACCUACCAACCAACCAACCAAACAAACAAAAACUCCUAGAAAAUCUAUAAUUACAUAGUAGAUUGCAUUCUCAAGAUAUUUUCCUUGGAAAAAAAGUGAAAAUAGAAGGAAAGAAUGGAAACUAAAUAAGACUAAACAUCGAUAUGAUAUUGGCACUAAAAAAAAAAAAAGAUAUUUCCCUUGAGCCUGGUGAGGUGAUGCAUGCACUGAGGAGGCUGAGGCAGAAGGAUCGUGAGUUUGAGGCUAGUCUGAGCUAAACAGACAGAACUUGUCUCAAACAAACAAACAAUCCCCCCCCCCAAAACAACUCCCAAAAACCAUUGAGCUGGGUGUGGUGGCACUGCCUCUAAUUCUGGCACUUGGUAGGCUGAGGCAGGAGGAUUGCUGUGAGUUCCAGGCCUGGGUCACACACAGAGUUUCAAGGCCAGCCUAAACUACAUAGAGAGACCCUGUCUCAACAAAACAAAACCCAAAAAAGAAAAAAGAAACACACGCACACACGCCCCAAAUAAAGUUCCCUUGACAUACCCAUUUAAUUAAUUUAUUUUAUUUCAUUUAUUUAUUUAUUUUUGGUACUGGGGUUCGAACUUGGGUCCUUGCACUUGCGCAGCAGGUGGCAAAACCACUGAGCUAAAUCCCCGGCCCAUAAUUAAUCAAUAGCAAAACAUUUAUUGGUAAAUUUUAGGCAUACAUAAUGAUAACACGCAUCGCAGGGAGUGUUGCUGUAGGGGCAGACUACAGUCUACAGCGUGGCAGCUCUUAGUGGUGCAGCAAGACCAGGCUGGAAGAAUCCAGAACGCACCGAGGGUGGGCCAAGUGUACAGCUUUCUUACCCGGCUGGCUGCUCAGGGAUUUCUGCACAAAGCGAUCCUCCUGGAGCUGGCAGAGAGCAGGGUUUAUAGGGGUUAAGGGAGGGGAGGUGGGGAUACAGAGCAGGCAUGUAUCCUCAGCUCCAGGCACUUAGGAAGUUCCAUUUAGUUUACGUGAUCGUGAUGGGAUAGAAAAGCGCCCAGAUACAGACUCCUCCUGAGGACGAAGGACAGUGAAGGAGGGUGUGCGCUGGGCGUGGUGGGGUUUGAGCUGGGCUGGCUCUUCCUCAGUCAGGUCAGUGCGGCGCUCGAAAAAGAAAACCGUUCUGCUAUCAUCCAUUUAAUUUAAUUAAAAAUUGUUGUGGUAUCUGGGAGUUAAACUCAGAGCUUUCUUACCGAACUAUGUCCCCAGCCCCCCCCCCUUUGGUACUGGGGAUGGAACUCGGGACCUUGUGUUUGCGAGGCAGGUGGCACCACUGAGCUAGAUCCCUGGCCCCUCCAGCCCUUUAUAAUUUUUAGACAGGGUCUUGCUAAAUCUUAAAUUGCCCAGGCUGGGUUUGAACUUGGGAUCCUCUUGUCUCUGGCUCCCGGAAUGCUUGGAUUAUAGGCAUGUAUCAUUAUGCCUGGUCCAUUAAAAAUUUGUUAUUUAUUUAGUUAUUUUUAUUUUUUCUGAUACCAGGGAUUGAACUUGGGACCUUGGGCUUGUGAGGCAGGCGGUGGAGCCACUGAGCUAAAUCCCCAGCCCUACUUAUUUUUUUGUAUGGGGGAUCAAACUCAGGACCUUGGGCUUGCAAGGCAGGAGCGGUGCCACUGAGCUAAAUCCCCAGCCCUACUUAUUUUUUUGUAUGGGGGAUCAAACUCAGGACCUUGGGCUUGCAAGGCAGGAGCGGUGCCACUGAGCUAAAUCCCCAG